rnacentral:rRNA from 1 species
AGCUCCAAUAGCGUAUGCUUAAGUUGUUGCAGUUAAAAAGCUCGUAGUUGGAUUUCUGCCGGUGGCGUUCGGUCGGGCCUCGAGCUCUGUACUGCACGUCUUCGGCACUCAUACGAAAAUGGGUCUGCUCUUUGCUGAGUGGGUCUCACUUUCGUAGCUGAUACUUUGAGAAAAUUAGAGUGUUCCAAGCAGGCGCAUGCCUUGAAUACUGCAGCAUGGGAUAUCGAGAUAGGACUCCGGUUCUUUCUUUUUGGUUCCAGGAAUUGGAGUAAUGAUUAAUAGGGAUAGUUGGGGGGAUUCGUAUGCGAGCGCUAGUGGUGAAAUACUUUGAUUGCUCGCAGACGGACUACUGCGAAAGCAUUUCCCAAGGAUGUUUUCA